CCUCUGUUUUCACCACUACUAUUACAAUGACCAUACAUCAGAUGUGUCAUGUAAUCUCAGCAUAACACACGAUGAGUACGAUCGUGAUGUGCCGUCUAAAAGGGUCAUUAGGAGUCAAAUUUGAAAUAAUGACAAUUGAAUACAAAUUUUAUUUAUUUUCUGUCUUUUGAAAUGGAAAAUUUAUAACAAAAAUAUUUUUUUGAUUGAAAUAUUGGAACAUUUUAUUAUGUUAUUUCAAAAUCGUAUAAGGAAUUUUUUGACAUGAAAGCUAUGCCAAAGCUUUUGAGUAUUUCCAAAACUGGCUCAGGGAUGUUAAUCGAUGUAAGGAAAACAAAAUCGUUGGGCGAAGCCAGGAAACCCAAAGCUGUGCAAAAGGAAUGCUCUGUGAUUUUUAUGGGAAGUAAACAGAAAUGAAAUAAACAAAAAGGAUGUUUUCUUUGAAACGCAUUUAGAAAUUUAACAUAGAUACAUAGAAAUUCUACAUAGGCAGUGGCUUUUAUAUGGUUUUUAUUUUUAUUUCAUUCAUAGCGAAUUCUAUCUUAAACGAGAUAAUUAUCCUUAGAUUGUUAUGUUAUCCAUAAAUACUCGUACAAUAAACUAUUCAUAAAAUUCUA